CCGACCUUAGCUCAGUUGGUAGAGCGGAGGAUGUAGUUGAUUAAUCUAAAUUGGAAAUCCUUAGGUCGCUGGUUCGAAUCCGGCAGGUCGGA
rnacentral:tRNA from 1 species